rnacentral:lncRNA from 1 species
CAAGAUGGUCUAGCUUGAGCUCUGUAGGCUUGACUGAUGAAAUAAGUAGUAGUUUUUUGCUAAAAUAACCACAUUGUUUGCAAAAGUUUUCUCCUUUGAGUUUUCUAGGGUCAUUACAAUGAUCUAACUGCCUUACCUGCUUUUGAACUGGUUGAGCCUCUUGUGGGACCGAAAACAAAAGAAGGGUGUUGAAAUGCAAAUAGAUAACUCUGGGUCCCAGUCCCUGACUGCAAAAGGAAGCCAAAACUGACAACAACGUCUCCUUCUCUACGGAGGUUUGUAGAAAGGCUGUACAAAAAUCUCACAAGAUGUAUUUCUUCUCGUGGACUGGAGUCCCAAGGUGCUUAAGGGCUCUUCAAUUUGUUAAUGGAAAGAAACACCAUUUACACCGGAUGGCUACAAAGCAACCUUAUUCUGGAUCCAGUUGAAAAUCAGGCAUUGCAUCCAGUCAUCAUGGCUUUAAUCUUAAUGCCUUCCCUGCACUGUUUUGGGAAUAUCUUGAUACUGCUAUUUUUGAAGAGUCCAGAUCAGUUAUUCUGCAGAAUAGGGAGAUUUGAGACAGGAGAAGAGAAGACACGAAGGAGGGAAGGAAGUGAUGUGACCACAGAGGCAGAGAUUGGAGUGAUGUAGUCACAAGCCAAGGAGCACCAACAGCCACCAGGAGCUGGAAGAGCCCAAGAGUAUAUACUAAUACCUGGAUUUGGGACUUGGGACUUCUGGUCUCUAGAAGUAGGAAAGAAUAAACAUCUGUUUUUUUGUU